GAUGAACGCUGGCGGCGUGCCUAAUACAUGCAAGUCGAGCGAACCACUUCGGUGGUGAGCGGCGAACGGGUGAGUAACACGUAGGUGAUCUGCCCAUCAGACGGGGACAACGAUUGGAAACGAUCGCUAAUACCGGAUAGGACGAAAGUUUAAAGGUGCUUCUGGCACCGCUGAUGGAUGAGCCUGCGGCGCAUAAGGUAGUUGGUAGGGUAAAGGCCUACCAAGGCGACGAUGCGUAGCCGACCUGAGAGGGUGAACGGCCACACUGGGACUGAGACACGGCCCAGACUCCUACGGGAGGCAGCAGUAGGGAAUCUUCGGCAAUGGGCGAAAGCCUGACCGAGCAACGCCGCGUGAAUGAUGAAGGCCUUCGGGUUGUAAAAUUCUGUUAUAAGGGAAGAACGACUUUAGUAGGAAAUGGCUAGAGUGUGACGGUACCUUAUGAGAAAGCCACGGCUAACUACGUGCCAGCAGCCGCCGUAA
rnacentral:rRNA from 1 species